GUUGCCUGGGAAACGGAGGGGGCCCCCGCCACAGGACGUGGGGCAGAAAGCCAGGGCCCGGGGUCGACACGAUGACGGUCGGUCGGGAGCAGCCCGGGCGGUGGUCGCCGUGGAGGUGGCUGGGUCUCCGUGCUCCGCGCGCUCAGCGCCAGCCGCACGGGGGUCUCCGCGGGCCCUGCCGUCAGUGAGGCCCUCGCCAGCAAGGCUGCCUCUGGGCGUUGGUGGGGGCCUCGGGCCAGGCCCGAGUCCCAGGACCCAGGGAGGGGAGUCCACAGUCGGUCACGGGCCAGGCGCUCAAAUGCCGUUAGAGAGAAAUCCAGUUCCCGUGGGCCCUAGACUUCUCGUGGGACCGCGUUCUUCAGACCACACCCCGAGCCAAGGACGCACGGCAAACGAUUUCUUAAGAAGCCAGUGCUCCCGGAGACGGGGAGGCGGGCCGUGGCCGGGGAGCACGGCCCAGCCCCGCCUGAGCCCGAGGGAGCCCCGGGGGUGAGGGGUACCGUCUCCGGGCCCACCUCCCAGGGCUCCCACGCCCCAGGGCCCCCAGGUUCAAGGACCGAACACCACUGGUGCCUCGUCCCCAUCGGCCACGGAGGCGGUAAAGGAAGGAAUGUUGCUGCCGAGCCCCCGUCUGUGCUACUCUGGUGUAGCGGCCCGUCCUGGCCAGCGCUCGUGCUCAGCCCUUAGUCCGUUCAACACCGUCCUGGCGCACGGCCUGGGUGCGGUGGCCACAGAGCUCCCGGCUCUGGCCACACGGCACGGGUGGGACACGCCCGGUCCUGCCCGCCGGGAGUCCUCCGUCCUACCCUCAGCCUCCUCGCUUCCCAAGACGGAGACGUCCACACCACGGCCCCUACCAACAGCACCACAUCCGUGUCCUGGGGUAAAUACCGGCCGGGGCCACCUCCGCCAGGGCGCCAGCUCGCUCCCGCAGGCACAUCCCGUACUCACUACUCUUCAAGAACAUUUCUGGAACCUCACCACUGCUCCCCACCCCUGCCACGGCCCCAGGCCCAGCCGCCUCCCCCGGCCAAAUCAGUAGUGCCCUCACUGGGCUCCAGCCCCCCUCCUGUUCAAUCAACUCUGCCCUCGGCAGCCAGAGCGACCCUCACAGUGGAGUCCGACCCUCAUGCCUCCGCACUCGGGUGUAGAAUAAAAUCCACAUUCCUCAGAGCUUCACCGGAGCCUGCGGAUCAGGCCCUGCCCGUGCCUCCAAAAGCACCACAAAGCAUCCACCACGCACCGUGUCAGCCCCAUGGGUCUUCUUGUGUUCAAACAUGCUGAGCUCCUACCGCCCCAGGGCCUUUGCACUUGCUGUUUCCCCCGCCGGUGUCCUUCUCUAGACUUUUGCAAGCUGCCCUCCCUCUCUUCAGUCUUUGUUCAACUAUCACAUUCUAAGAGAGAGCUUCCCAGAUCUGGAGUGGCUCCCACCACCCCCCCAUUCCUGCCCUGCUUUUUUGUUCAUCACGCUCAAUGUCUGAAAGUCUAUUCCAUUCUAUUGUCUUCUCUUCCUUUCCUGUCCCUCUUUUUUCCCUUUCACAUUACUCUUCCCUAUCUGAGCGGAGCCUGUGCACCCCCCGCCUGCCUCCCCUCCACCAAGACGUCACCCCCAGCAAGCACAGCCUGUCUGCACCGGCAGCUGAAUCCCGCCGGGCCAGGGAAGGUGCCCGGCACUAGCCGGAGAUCUCUUGGCAUUGGCGAACCAAAGGCAUGUUCAGGAGGAACCAUAGCUCAUCUGGGCUUUGCUAAGAACGACGGAGCCCACGGCCCAGCAGAACUGCCCCAGAGGCAUGGCUGACAGGAGCACCCAUUGGAGACGAGGGACAGAAAAAGGGAGACUCGUUUAGACAGCGUGAUACCCUGGAAACUUCCAUGUGGUUCUCCGGACCUACUCACCGUUCUCCAACCUGCUCUGGACCCCCAGCGGCUGACCUGCAUGGACCACACAAGCGACCCCCAUGUCCUUGGCCGGUGUGAAGGGUGGCCCCACCCCAGCUGGACAACUGGACAACACUGAGGCAGUUUGGGCUUGAAAAAUCACAGACCCCGGGGGCCCUAACAUACUUCCUAAGCCGCUGAUUCCAAACAGUUGGUUAGCAGGCAGUUUCCGGCUAAUUUGCAAAUACUUCAGAUGUUAAUCCCAUUUUUUCCACUAGGAAUAAGCGAGCUUUUAAAUUA